CUCUGAACAGAUGUAUCCUGUAGGGCUGCACAGACCCAUCCCCUCUGAUAAAAUCCCUCAAAGAACAGAGAGCAACUACAGCUGCAGACCAAACUGCUGUCACUCAACGUCUCAUUAUCAACUGCAUGUCCACCUUGGCGGCAGAAGAGUGGGCACCGGCUCUGGAGACUGACGCCAAGGCAGUCCGGACUGCAAUGACCGGAAUCCAGCGAGCACAAAUCAGGACUGGACAGCCCCGACUCAGCAAACUUUCUGUUGCUGCCAUUGCACAGGGGCAGUGUGCAGAUGAUGAAGAUGAUGGUCAUGAAGACCAGCAGGAUGAGAUGCUCCACCUCCUCAGCCA